AUGGAGGCGACGGUGCUGAGCAUGGGCAAGUCCGUGGUGAGCGGAGCUGUUAGCUACGCCCAAUCUGCCGUUGCAAAGGAGGUGGCGCUGCAGCUGGGAGUGCAGCGCGACCAGGCCUUCAUCAGGGACGAGCUUGAGAUGAUGCAGUCAUUCCUGAUGGCUGCACACGAUGAGCGAGACAACAACAAGGUGAUCAAGACCUGGGUGAAGCAGGUCCGUGACCUAGGCUACGACGUGGAGGACUGCCUCCAGGACUUUGUCGUUCGCUUCGAGAGGUCGCCCAGCUGGUGGCGCAUCUUGAGUACACUGCUUGACCGGCGCCAUGUGGCCUUGGAGAUGAAGGACCUCCGAGCCAAGGUCGAGGAUGUCAGCCAGAGGAACCUGCGGUACCACCUCAUCAGGGGCUCUGCCACUAGCUCAAAGCCCCUUGCCACCGUUGCUACCGAACAGUACGCUGCAGGCGGCAAAGCCAGUGCUACAAUGUUUGGUGUUGACAAAGCGAGGCGUGCUGUGAAGCCAAGGGUAGAUCUUGCACAACUCAUCAACAAAGAGCUGGGCAAGGAUCUUAGAGUGAUUGCAGUGUGGGGAACAUGUGGUGUUCUUGGACAGGCAUCCGUGAUAAGACAUGCAUAUGAUGAUUCGCACAAAUUUGAAUGCCGUGCCUGGAUUAAGCUUACACAUCCUUUCGACCCGAUCAUGUUCAUGCAAAGCAUUAUGAGGCAGUUCUAUGGAUAUUCUUCUUUUCCAGAAGUAGCAUCUGAGGUACGAGGUUGUCGAGAAAGAGCAAGCACUAUAGGGGCUGAAGUUCUGAAAAAGAUGCUGAUGAUGAAGCAAGAGGACUUGGUUGACCAGUUCAAAGAGCAUGUGAAUAACAAGAGUUACCUGAUUGUUCUCAACGACCUGUGUAGCAUAGAAGAUUGGGACUGGAUUAGAACUUACUUUCCUGUCAACAGUAAUGGUAACCGGAUCAUUGUGGCCACACAGCAUGUUGAAGUUGCAAGCUUAUGCAUAGGCCGGAAAUGCAGAGUCUCAAAGCUUAAGCAAUUAUCCGAUGAUCAAACUUUCUAUGUUUUCUACCCGAAGAGCCCUCAAGGUGGAGCAAUUUCAAUGGAGCCAGAGUCAACCUCAAGCGCAACCGCCAUUGUCACCACUAACAUAACAAACUCUUUAGUGCCCAUCUGUGAGAUAACGGUUGGCAAUCAAACAAAAGAUGCCGCCAGUGGACAGAAUGCCAUCAGAAGGAGCCUCAGCCGCAUCCUAUCGAUUACGGCUGCUAUGGAGGGAUCUGAAGUUGUAGGAAGGGAGACAGAAAAAUCUCACAUCCUCAGACUAAUUUUGAAUCCAGUGAACAAAAAACUUCAGGUUAUCUCUGUGUGGGGAAUGAGUGGUCUAGGGAAAACUGCUCUAGUUGAAGAUAUCUAUGAAAGCCAAGAACUCAAUGGCAUAUUUGAGAAACAUGCUUUCCUCAGAAUCAUCGGCCCUUUCAGUCAUGAGGAAUUCCUUAGGAGUUUAGCUAUCCAACUAGGGGUGGCAGAAGCUAGUGGUGGCACGGUGUACUCAUUGCGCAGAAAUGUUGAAGAACUGAUGUGUGACCUGGAACGUUUUUUGAGAGAAAAGAGGUGCUUGAUUGUUCUCGACGGCUUGUCAUCUACCACUGAGUGGGACAUGCUAAUGAAUUUUUUUUAUCAUAUGAAAAAUGGAAGUCAAAUGAUAGUCACCACAAGAGAAGUGAGUAUUGCUAAUUAUUGUUCAAACAAACAAGAAAAUGUAUGCAAGCUCAAUGGUCUAGAUAAGAAGCAUCACUUGUCUUCUUCACAAGAAAGGUAUUCAAGGAAAAUGAAUAUUGGUAUCGGCAGAAUCCUGAGUUGA
rnacentral:rRNA from 1 species